GUGCUCAUUUUAGCAGCACAUAUACUAAAAUUGAAAUGACACAGAGAUUAGCAUGGUCCUUGCACAAGGAUGACACUCAAAUUCAUGAAGCAUUCUGUAUUAUU